rnacentral:rRNA from 1 species
GAUGAACGCUGGCGGCGUGCCUAAUACAUGCAAGUCGAGCGAACAGACGAGGAGCUUGCUCCUCUGACGUUAGCGGCGGACGGGUGAGUAACACGUGGAUAACCUACCUAUAAGACUGGGAUAACUUCGGGAAACCGGAGCUAAUACCGGAUAAUAUAUUGAACCGCAUGGUUCAAUAGUGAAAGACGGUUUUGCUGUCACUUAUAGCUGGAUCCGCGCCGCAUUAGCUAGUUGGUAAGGUAACGGCUUACCAAGGCAACGAUGCGUAGCCGACCUGAGAGGGUGAUCGGCCACACUGGAACUGAGACACGGUCCAGACUCCUACGGGAGGCAGCAGUAGGGAAUCUUCCGCAAUGGGCGAAAGCCUGACGGAGCAACGCCGCGUGAGUGCUGAAGGUCUUCGGAUCGUAAAACUCUGUUAUUAGGGAAGAACAAAUGUGUAAGUAACUAUGCACGUCUUGACGGUACCUAAUCAGAAAGCCACGGCUAACUACGUG